UGCAGUCGAGCGGACAGAAGGGAGCUUGCUCCCGGAUGUUAGCGGCGGACGGGUGAGUAACACGUGGGUAACCUGCCUGUAAGACUGGGAUAACUCCGGGAAACCGGAGCUAAUACCGGAUAGUUCCUUGAACCGCAUGGUUCAAGGAUGAAAGACGGUUUCGGCUGUCACUUACAGAUGGACCCGCGGCGCAUUAGCUAGUUGGUGGGGUAAUGGCUCACCAAGGCGACGAUGCGUAGCCGACCUGAGAGGGUGAUCGGCCACACUGGGACUGAGACACGGCCCAGACUCCUACGGGAGGCAGCAGUAGGGAAUCUUCCGCAAUGGACGAAAGUCUGACGGAGCAACGCCGCGUGAGUGAUGAAGGUUUUCGGAUCGUAAAGCUCUGUUGUUAGGGAAGAACAAGUGCGAGAGUAACUGCUCGCACCUUGACGGUACCUAACCAGAAAGCCACGGCUAACUACGUGCCAGCAGCCGCGGUAAUACGUAGGUGGCAAGCGUUGUCCGGAAUUAUUGGGCGUAAAGGGCUCGCAGGCGGUUUCUUAAGUCUGAUGUGAAAGCCCCCGGCUCAACCGGGGAGGGUCAUUGGAAACUGGGAAACUUGAGUGCAGAAGAGGAGAGUGGAAUUCCACGUGUAGCGGUGAAAUGCGUAGAGAUGUGGAGGAACACCAGUGGCGAAGGCGACUCUCUGGUCUGUAACUGACGCUGAGGAGCGAAAGCGUGGGGAGCGAACAGGAUUAGAUACCCUGGUAGUCCACGCCGUAAACGAUGAGUGCUAAGUGUUAGGGGGUUUCCGCCCCUUAGUGCUGCAGCUAACGCAUUAAGCACUCCGCCUGGGGAGUACGGUCGCAAGACUGAAACUCAUAGGAAUUGACGGGGGCCCGCACAAGCGGUGGAGCAUGUGGUUUAUUUCGAAGCAACGCGAAGAACCUUACCAGGUCUUGACAUCCUCUGACAACCCUAGAGAUAGGGCUUUCCCUUCGGGGACAGAGUGACAGGUGGUGCAUGGUUGUCGUCAGCUCGUGUCGUGAGAUGUUGGGUUAAGUCCCGCAACGAUCGCAACCCUUGAUCUUAGUUGC
rnacentral:rRNA from 1 species